rnacentral:snoRNA from 1 species
AGCGAUGAUGACUUUGUUUUUUGUUUUUCUGACACCUCUUGUGCGAGGGUCUCGUUACUCGAUGAACUCAAUAUGCAACCCACUGAGCC